CCUACGGGAGGCAGCAGUGGGGAAUUUUGGACAAUGGGGGCAACCCUGAUCCAGCAAUGCCGCGUGAGUGAAGAAGGCCUUCGGGUUGUAAAGCUCUUUUGUCAGGGAAGAAACGGGUGGGGCUAAUAUCCUCAUCUAAUGACGGUACCUGAAGAAUAAGCACCGGCUAACUACGUGCCAGCAGCCGCGGUAAUACGUAGGGUGCAAGCGUUAAUCGGAAUUACUGGGCGUAAAGCGUGCGCAGGCGGUUAUGUAAGUCAGAUGUGAAAUCCCCGGGCUCAACCUGGGAACUGCAUUUGAGACUGCAUGGCUAGAGUGUGUCAGAGGGGGGUAGAAUUCCACGUGUAGCAGUGAAAUGCGUAGAUAUGUGGAGGAAUACCGAUGGCGAAGGCAGCCCCCUGGGAUAACACUGACGCUCAUGCACGAAAGCGUGGGGAGCAAACAGGAUUAGAUACCCUGGUAGUCCACGCCCUAAACGAUGUCUACUAGUUGUCGGGACUUAAUUGUCUUGGUAACGCAGCUAACGCGUGAAGUAGACCGCCUGGGGAGUACGGUCGCAAGNUUAAAACGNGAAAGAUUGACGNNGAGAGAGACGACGACGACGACGAGGGAGGAGG
rnacentral:rRNA from 1 species